GCGAGUUUAGCUCAGUUGGUUAGAGCACUGCUUUACACGCAGGGGUCGUAGGUUCGAAUCCUACAACUCGCACCA
rnacentral:tRNA from 1 species